rnacentral:rRNA from 1 species
GACGAACGCUGGCUGCGUGCUUAACACAUGCAAGUCGAACGCUGAAACCCUGGUGCUUGCACCGGGGUGGAUGAGUGGCGAACGGGUGAGUAACACGUGAGUAACCUGCCCCCGACUUCGGGAUAAGCCCGGGAAACUGGGUCUAAUACCGGAUAUGAGCGCCCCUCGCAUGAGGGAUGCUGGAAAGUCUUUUCGGUUGGGGAUGGGCUCGCGGCCUAUCAGUUUGUUGGUGAGGUAAUGGCUCACCAAGACGACGACGGGUAGCCGGCCUGGGGGGGCGACCGGCCACACUGGGACGGAGACACGGCCCAGACUCCUACGGGAGGCAGCAGUGGGGAAUAUUGCACAAUGGGGGAAACCCUGAUGCAGCGACGCAGCGUGCGGGAUGACGGCCUUCGGGUUGUAAACCGCUUUCAGCAGGGAAGAAGCCCCUUGGGGUGACGGUACCUGCAGAAGAAGUACCGGCUAACUACGUGCCAGCAGCCGCAGUAA